UAAGGAAUAUUGGUCAAUGGACGCAAGUCUGAACCAGCCAUGCCGCGUGGAGGAUUAAGGCCCUCUGGGUUGUAAACUCCUUUUAUCUGGGAAGAAAUGUACUUUUUCUUGAGUACUUGACGGUACCAGAGGAAUAAGCAUCGGCUAACUUCGUGCCAGCAGCCGCGGUAAGACGAAGGAUGCAAGCGUUAUCCGGAUUCAUUGGGUUUAAAGGGUGCGUAGGCGGGCUUGUAAGUCAGUGGUGAAAUCUCUCAGCUUAACUGAGAAACUGCCAUUGAUACUGCAGGCCUAGAGUAUAGAUGACGUUGGCGGAAUAUGACAUGUAGUGGUGAAAUACUUAGAUAUGUCAUAGAACACCGAUUGCGAAGGCAGCUAACGAAACUAUAACUGACGCUGAGGCACGAAAGUGCGGGGAUCAAACA
rnacentral:rRNA from 1 species